UACGGAGGGUGCAAGCGUUGUCCGGAUUCACUGGGUUUAAAGGGUGCGUAGGUGGGUCUGUAAGCCAGUGGUGAAAUCUCCGGGCUUAACCCGUAAACUGCCAUUGAUACUACAGGUCUUGAAUUUUCCGGAGGUAAGCGGAAUAUGUCAUGUAGCGGUGAAAUGCUUAGAUAUGACAUAGAACACCAAUUGCGAAGGCAGCUUACUACAGGAACAUUGACACUGAGGCACGAAAGCGUGGGGAUCAAACAAG
rnacentral:rRNA from 1 species